AACUGUCAGUGGUGGAUCACUUGGCUCGCUGAUCGAGGAAGAACGCAGCCAGCUGCGAUAAUCGGUGUGAAAUGC
rnacentral:rRNA from 1 species